rnacentral:rRNA from 1 species
AGGACGAACGCUGGCGGCGUGCUUAACACAUGCAAGUCGAGCGAGGCCCCUCCUUCGGGAGGGUGUCCUAGCGGCGAACGGGUGAGUAACACGUGGGCAACCUGCCCUCAGCUCUGGGAUAACCCCGGGAAACCGGGGCUAAUACCGGAUACGACCUCCUUAGGCAUCUGAGGUGGUGAAAAGUUUUUCGGCUGAGGAUGGGCCCGCGGCCUAUCAGCUUGUUGGUGGGGUGAUGGCCUACCAAGGCGACGACGGGUAGCCGGCCUGAGAGGGUGACCGGCCACACUGGGACUGAGACACGGCCCAGACUCCUACGGGAGGCAGCAGUGGGGAAUAUUGCGCAAUGGGCGAAAGCCUGACGCAGCGACGCCGCGUGAGGGACGAAGGCCUUCGGGUUGUAAACCUCUUUCAGCAGGGACGAAGCGAAAGUGACGGUACCUGCAGAAGAGCACCGGCAACUACGUGCCAGCAGCCGC